rnacentral:rRNA from 1 species
UGAUCCUGCCGGACCCCACUGCUAUCGGGAUGGGACUAAGACAUGCUAGUCGUGCGUCUCUAAGCCAUGGUGGAGGCGCGGCGCACAGCUCAGUAACACGUGGCUAACCUGCCCUUGGGACAGGGACAACCCCGGGAAACUGGGGCUAAUCCCUGAUAGGUGAGGACUCCUGGAAUGGGUCCUCGCCGAAAGGGUGUCUAGACCAUGCUUCUAGGCGUCGCUCAAGGACGGGGCCGCGGCCGAUCAGGUUGUUGGUGAGGUAACGGCUCACCAUGCCUUUAACCGGUACGGGCCGUGAGAGCGGGAGCCCGGAGAUGGGCACUGAGACAAGGGCCCAGGCCCUACGGGGCGCAGCAGUCGCGAAAACUCCGCAAUACGCGAAAGCGUGACGGGGCUAUCCCGAGUGCCAUCCGCUGAGGAAGGCUUUUCCCCAGUGUAUAAAGCUGGGGGAAUAAGGAGAGGGCAAGACUGGUGUCAGCCGCCGCGGUAAUACCAGCUCUCCGAGUGGUGGGGAUGCUUAUUGGGCCUAAAGCAUUCGUAGCUGGUUGGGCAAGUUCUCCGUUAAAUCCAACGAUUCAAUCGUUGGGCUGCGGGGGAUACUGUCCGGCUAGGGGGCGGGAGAGGCCGACGGUAUUCUCGGGGUAGGGGUGAAAUCCUAUAAUCCCGGGAGGACCACCAGUGGCGAAGGCUGUCGGCUAGAACGCGCCCGACGGUGAGGGAUGAAAGCUGGGGGAGCGAACCGGAUUAGAUACCCGGGUAGUCCCAGCUGUAAACGAUGCAGGCUAGGUGUUGGCGCGGCUACGUGCCGCUCUGGUGCCGCAGAGAAGUCGUUAAGC